UGGGGGAUAUUGCACAAUGGGCGAAAGCCGGAUGCAGCGACGCCGCGUGGGGGAUGAAGGCCUUCGGGUUGUAAACUUCUUUUGCUCUGAACAAGGCAUGCUAAUGGGUGUGUUGAGUGUAGGGGUUGAUUAGCGCCGGCUAACUACGUGCCAGCAGCCGCGGUAAUACGUAGGGCGCGAGCGUUGUCCGGAAUUAUUGGGCGUAAAGGGCUUGUAGGUGGCUGGUUGCGUCUGUCGUGAAAGCUCAUGGCUUAACUGUGGGUUUGCGGUGGGUACGGGCUGGCUUGAGUGCAGUAGGGGAGGCUGGAAUUCCUGGUGUAGCGGUGGAAUGCGCAGAUAUCAGGAGGAAUACCGGUGGCGAAGGCGGGUCUCUGGGCUGUUACUGACACUGAGGAGCGAAAGCAUGGGGAGCGAACAGG
rnacentral:rRNA from 1 species